CCUACGGGAGGCAGCAGUGGGGAAUAUUGCACAAUGGGGGAAACCCUGAUGCAGCGACGCCGCGUGAGUGAAGAAGUAUUUAGGUAUGUAAAGCUCUAUCAGCAGGGAAGAAAAUGACGGUACCUGACUAAGAAGUCCCGGCUAACUACGAUCCAGCAGCCGCGGUACUGCGUAGGGGGCAAGCGUUAUCCGGAUUUACUGGGGGUAAAGGGUGGGUAGACGGCCUGACAAGUCAGAAGUGAAAGCCCAGGGCUCAACCCUGGGACUGCUUUUGAAACUGGCGGGCUGGAGUGAAGGAGAGGUAAGCGGAAUUCCUAGUGUAGCGGUGAAAUGCGUAGAUAUUAGGAGGAACACCAGUGGCGAAGGCGGCUUACUGGACUGUAACUGACGCUGAGGCACGAAGGCCAGGGGAGCGAAAGGGAUUAGAUACCCUAGUAGUC
rnacentral:rRNA from 1 species